rnacentral:lncRNA from 1 species
AAUGCAAAUGUGCAGUUCUUCGAGGCACUCAAACACACAUUUCUUGCUUUCAAUGGUUGAUAUGUAGUUAGAUUGUUGACAAUUUUUAUUGUUAAAACAAUCUUCUAAAAGAAAAGAAGUUGGCAAUAUCUUACUCUAUAGCCAUGAAUCCAUUGGGCUGAUCUUGAUGCUCUGGAGAUAUGAAAGUAAAUUUAUGAAAUUGAAAUUUGUAGUCGGCAGUGGGGAAACCAUAGUGAAGGUGUGGAAAUGGCAUCCAGAAAGCUUCAACCCUAUAAUAGUGA